rnacentral:snoRNA from 1 species
CCAGUGUGGAUAUCCCGGGAGGUUACUGUCCCUGGGCUCUGUCCAGGUGGCAUAGGAGAGCAUAGGGCUCUGCCCCAUGAUGUACAGUCCCUUUCCACAAUGUUGGAGAUGAAGCUGAGCCUUGAGUCUGCACCUAUGUCCAAUGGACAAUGACUGAGGAGAUAAGCAGUGCAGGAAACAAUC